rnacentral:sRNA from 1 species
GAUGCCAGGGUCAAAAGCUCAUAUGACGGUCAUGCUUGCAUGAACCGGCAUAUGAGUUUGGGACCCGCCCGAACAUGAGCAAGUAGCGAAAUGAUUGUGUAGCAAGCAUUUCAGCGGAUUGCGAAUGUUCGUAGAAUUGCGGGAGCUGCAAAGCAGCGGAGCAAUUCGGGGGCAUC